rnacentral:rRNA from 1 species
GGAGGAUCAUUACCGAGUGAGGGCCCUCUGGUCCAACCUCCCACCCGUGUUUAUUUUACCUUGUUGCUUCGGCGGGCCCGUUAACUGGCCGCCGGGGGGCUCACGCCCCCGGGCCCGCGCCCGCCGAAGACACCCUCGAACUCUGUCUGAAGAUUGAAGUCUGAGUGGAAAAUAUAAAUUAUUUAAAACUUUCAACAACGGAUCUCUUGGUUCCGGCAUCGAUGAAGAACGCAGCGAAAUGCGAUACGUAAUGUGAAUUGCAGAAUUCAGUGAAUCAUCGAGUCUUUGAACGCACAUUGCGCCCCCUGGUAUUCCGGGGGGCAUGCCUGUCCGAGCGUCAUUGCUGCCCUCAAGCCCGGCUUGUGUGUUGGGCCCCGUCCUCCGAUCUCCGGGGGACGGGCCCGAAAGGCAGCGGCGGCACCGCGUCCGGUCCUCGAGCGUAUGGGGCUUUGUCACCCGCUCUGUAGGCCCGGCCGGCGCCUGCCGAUGACAACCCAAAUUUUUAUCCAGGUUGACCUCGGAUCAGGUAGG